rnacentral:rRNA from 1 species
GAUGAACGCUGGCGGCGUGCCUAAUACAUGCAAGUCGAGCGAACAGACGAGGAGCUUGCUCCUCUGACGUUAGCGGCGGACGGGUGAGUAACACGUGGAUAACCUACCUAUAAGACUGGGAUAACUUCGGGAAACCGGAGCUAAUACCGGAUAAUAUAUUGAACCGCAUGGUUCAAUAGUGAAAGACGGUUUUGCUGUCACUUAUAGAUGGGUCCGCGCCGCAUUAGCUAGUUGGUAAGGUAACGGCUUACCAAGGCAACGAUGCGUAGCCGACCUGAGAGGGUGAUCGGCCACACUGGAACUGAGACACGGUCCAGACUCCUACGGGAGGCAGCAGUAGGGAAUCUUCCGCAAUAGGCGAAAGCCUGACGGAGCAACGCCGCGUGAGUGAUGAAGGUCUUCGGAUCGUAAAACUCUGUUAUUAGGGAAGAACAAAUGUGUAAGUAACUAUGCACGUCUUGACGGUACCUAAUCAGAAAGCCACGGCUAACUACGUG